GAGACGAAUUGUGGCGAUUUGUAACCGGAUUGUGGGCCACUUUAAAUAUGCCACUAAAAAGUUGAGACAAAUUAAUC
rnacentral:ncRNA from 1 species